UACGGAGGGAGCUAGCGUUGUUCGGAAUUACUGGGCGUAAAGCGCACGUAGGCGGCUUUGUAAGUUAGAGGUGAAAGCCCGGGGCUCAACCCCCGGAAUUGCCUUUAAGACUGCAUCGCUUGAAUCCGGGAGAGGUGAGUGGAAUUCCGAGUGUAGAGGUGAAAUUCGUAGAUAUUCGGAAGAACACCAGUGGCGAAGGCGGCUCACUGGACCGGUAUUGACGCUGAGGUGCGAAAGCGUGGGGAGCAAACAGG
rnacentral:rRNA from 1 species